AUAUGCAGGGUUCUUGUUGGGAACAACAAAUGGAGAGACAACAAUGGGACCAACCACUGCACUAUUAAAUGAGUGCAUAACUCUUACUCCCUGCAUGAACGGAGGAACAUGUACAGAUACCAGUCUUCCACCCGGUUACUCAUGCAGCUGUGUAGCAGAAUUCACAGGACCAACUUGUGAAGAAGAAAAUGAGUGCAUAACUCUUACUCCCUGCGUGAAUGGAGGGGCAUGCACAGAAAGUAUGGGUUCAGAAACUACAGAUACCAGUGAUAUCGGUUACUCAUGCAGCUGUGUAGCAGGAUACACAGGAAUAAAUUGUG
rnacentral:lncRNA from 1 species